rnacentral:rRNA from 1 species
GACGAACGCUGGCGGCGUGCUUAACACAUGCAAGUCGAACGCUGAAGCUUGGUGCUUGCACUGGGUGGAUGAGUGGCGAACGGGUGAGUAAUACGUGAGUAACCUGCCCUUGACUCUGGGAUAGGCCUGGGAAACUGGGUCUAAUACUGGAUACGACAUGUCACCGCAUGGUGGUGUGUGGAAAGGGUUUUACUGGUUUUGGAUGGGCUCACGGCCUAUCAGCUUGUUGGUGGGGUAAUGGCUCACCAAGGCGACGACGGGUAGCCGGCCUGAGAGGGUGACCGGCCACACUGGGACUGAGACACGGCCCAGACUCCUACGGGAGGCAGCAGUGGGGAAUAUUGCACAAUGGGCGGAAGCCUGAUGCAGCGACGCCGCGUGAGGGAUGACGGCCUUCGGGUUGUAAACCUCUUUCAGCACGGAAGAAGCGAAAGUGACGGUACGUGCAGAAGAAGCGCCGGCUAACUACGUG